rfam:Felis catus isolate Cinnamon breed Abyssinian chromosome A1, whole genome shotgun sequence.
GCCUGGGUGGCUCAGUCGGUUGAGCGUCCGACUUCAGCUCAGGUCACGAUCUCACCGACCGUGAGUUCGAGCCCCGCAUCGGGCU